rnacentral:lncRNA from 1 species
AAAGGACUUGUAGGGGAAAAUUUAAACUGUGGAGUUAGGAUUAUUAACGGUGGCAGGGCUUUAUAUAUAUGAGUGUUUACUGUUCCUGUUCAAGAAUAGGGAUAGGUUUACACAUUCUGAGCCAAAACACAGCAUACCCACUAGGUAUGUAGGGCUCAAUUUUCCUAUACAUAGGCUAGUCGCAACAGAGAGAGGACCUACAUAUUCGUGUAUAAAAUUUUUUAACAAAUUGCCUGUUAGAAUUAAAUUGCAA